ensembl:snRNA U6 U6 spliceosomal RNA
GUGCUGGCUUUGGCAGCACAUGUACUAAAAUUGAAACGAUGCAGAGAUUAGCACGGCCGCUGUGCAAGGAUGACAUGCAAGUUCGUGAAGCGUUCCAGAUUUCU